GGCGCUUUGGUGAGGUUGGCGCGUCGCUUAUCUGUCGUCCGGAUAUGGCUGGAAUAAAGCGCGUCGUUCAGACGGUGCAGCGCCAC
rnacentral:tRNA from 1 species